rnacentral:rRNA from 1 species
GAUGAACGCUAGCGGCAGGCUUAAUACAUGCAGGUCAAGGGGGUAGCAAUACUACCGGCGCACGGGUGAGUAACACGUACAUAACAUACCAUAUACUGGGGUAUAGCUUUGGGAAACUGAAGGUAAUCCCCCAUAACAUUGCGAGAGGGCAUCUGAUUGCAAUUAAAGUUUCGACGGUAUAUGAUUGAUGUGCGUUUGAUUAGCUUGUUGGUAGGGUAACGGCCUACCAAGGCGACGAUCAAUAGCUGGCGUGAGAGCGCGACCAGCCACACUGGAACUGAGACACGGUCCAGACUCCUACGGGAGGCAGCAGUAGGGAAUAUUGGACAAUGGGCGAAAGCCUGAUCCAGCCAUGCCGCGUGAUAGAUGAAGGCCCUCUGGGUUGUAAAUAUCUUUUAUCUGGGAAGAAACAAUCUUAUUCUUAAGAUCUUGACGGUACCAGAGGAAUAAGCACCGGCUAACUCCGUGCCAGCAGCCGCGGUAAAG